rnacentral:lncRNA from 1 species
ACCAGGAGGUCUUCUCCCUCUUUCAUCAUUGACCUUAUGCUGUGACUACUGAGUGAGUGAGAAAACAAAGUUUUGAACAGCCUGGCUGGGCUGAAGGUUGUAGCACAAUGUACUUUAAUUAAGGGAGGCAAAGAUCAGAUGCAUGAUAAGCAGGUAGUUGCUUGUAAGCUGUAGAAUAAGGGGAAAAUCUAGUCCCAUCAGUUUUUGGGCGUCUCCCUCUUCAUCACACAGCAUAGUCUAGCCCAUCUUUGGUCAGUUUUGCUCUGAGUCUCAAAUCCCACAAUAUCAUAUCAUUCAAGCCAAUGAGGGUAAAAAUACAUUUUUGGCUCAUGCCAUGGAUCAAUCAGCCUUUCACCAUGCAAAUGAUAGAAAAUCAGGAAACAAAGAAAAAUACCAGAAGGAACAGAAAAUAGACAAGUUCUCUACUGCACCUCUGUGGGUUUGCUUUUCUUUGUCUAUUUAUUGACAGGUAGAAGAGAAAUCAGACUCAAAAAAUUCACAAAUGUCUAGUUUUUUCUCUUUACAUUGAAUUUACCACUUGUUUAAGCAUUUUCUGCUCUAAAAUUGGUUAAAUCAUAUAAUAGAAAUUAUUUAUUUCUAUUUCCAGCAGAGAAGUAGAAUAUUAUCUGUAGCAACUAUCUUGUUUCCUUCUGCACUGACUUCAAAAAUUUUCCUAUUCAAUAAUCAUUUCACAGGUUCUGCCGAGUCCAUUAAGAAUGUUAGCAAAUGGAAAAUAUCUCAACAUGCUAUAUCUAUGGAAGCUUUCAAUGCAAUUAGCAGAAAUCCAAUUUACGAUGCAUUCUUAUACUCAGGUGAGGGCUCAGAACAAAUUUCUUUCACAAAUACCAGUCAAAGAACAUGAAAGGCACUGCAGACUAAUUCAACCAGAGAAAUCAGCCAUAGCAGAGCACUUGAUGAACCAAUCUGGACACAGUAUAUUAUUUGAGAACACAUAAAUGCGUGACCAUUCCAACAACUAUGUCAGACUACAAAGAGAAGCCAUUGAAAUCCACAAGCAUGUGGACAACUUCAACAGAAAGGAGGAAACCAUGAAAAUGAACAAAAUCUGGCUACCAGUUUUAAAAAAUUCAAAAAUCAAAACAGUAGAUGGGAAGCAACACUCUGAGGGCAGAAGAGCCCCAAGGACGGCUAAUGACUCUUAACAAUGGAUGCCCCCCAGGCAAGAGACAAACCUUUCCAAUGCUAAUUAGGGUGAUUAACUGAAACAUUAACGCUGGCUUCCAACUGACAAGGACUCUUGUCACACCCUGGACUCUCCUGGACUCUUGUCACACCCUGGACUCUCCACAGAUAUAUAUUUUUCCUUCCUUGCCCAGUUUAUCUGAGGAUGCCUGCUAUAGAUGUGGGCAAAACGUCAGGAGAGAAUACUUCUGGAACAUGGCCACACAGCCCGAAAGGCAUACAACAACCCUGUGAUCCCGGCCAUGAAAGCCUUCGACAACAAAUUUCUUUCAGCAGUCCUGGGGAUUGUCCGCACAAAUAAAACAAACCUGGACUCAUCACAAAUUCAUGUGCACAGGGACUUCCAACAAGUAUCUCAGAUUUUCUGCCCUUAACCCAAUUUUGCUCUGCUUUAGGCAAAGUUGGGGGGCCCUCCAUAGCUUGUAGAACACUCCGAAGUAGGUGGCUAUCUGG